AUUGAACGCUGGCGGCAGGCCUAACACAUGCAAGUCGAGCGAGCGGCGGACGGGAGAGUAAUGUAUGGGGACUGCCCGAUAGAGGGGGAUAACUACUGGAAACGGUGGAUAAUACCGCAUACAGUCGGAUAACCCAUAUGGGAUUAGCUAGUAGGUAAGGUAAUGGCUCACCUAGGCGACGAUCCCUAGCUGGUCUGAGAGGAUGAUCAGCCACACUGGGACUGGGUCACGGCCCAGACUCCGACGGAGGCAGCAGUGGGGAAUAUUGCACAAUGGGAGCAAGCCCGAUGCAGCCAUGCCGCGUGUAUGAAGAAGGCCCUAGGGUUGUAAAGUACUUUCAGUCGGGAGGCGUUACCGACAGAAGAAGCACCGGCUAACUCCGUGCCAGCAGCCGCGGUAAUAC
rnacentral:rRNA from 1 species